GACAAGGUCUCUUUGUACCUUUUGUGGUCUCAGGAGCAGCCACUGCCAAUGUCAUCAGCAAGCUUCAACCGCCCCAUAUGCAAACGGUGACGACGGAGAAAGAGCGUUCAAGCUAACACCAGCCUCCUUCUGCGUUUUUUACCUCCUAUUCGCUCUCGCAAUGAUUGGUGUCUACCUCUUCUUAUAUUUGAUUGCUAUCAUUCCCGUCAUCCAUCGAACUUGUUACCUGGAGGUCUUUGCUGACUCCUUCUCCGACUCAAACGCCUCAAACGCAAACGCAACCGCAGAUUGGAACUUCGGGUUUACAACAAGGAAUCCAGGUAACGGAUGUAAAGUCUCUCUCCACACAGUCAAAUCGCGUCUCCUCCGCGGAGAUAAGCUUCUAUCCGAGUCAUCCAUUCCUGAUUUUACUCGUAACCGGGAAAAUCAAUGAUGUACCGGUUCCUUAUGCGGUUUUCAAAACGGUUGCAACGCCCCGCAACGAAUUGGUUUGGGAUCUCCGGCUCGAAGUCGUAACUAGCGUUAAGAUAAAAGGUCGAGCCGGUCAUGGAGAUGGUUUCUUGAUCGUGACUUGCCGUGAUAUACCGGUAAAUUUUACGGCAGAUCCGGCUGGAAAUGUGAAUGGAUCGUUGAUCGGAUAUAUGAGGCCUUGUGAGUAUUUAGUCCAGAAAGAGUAUACGGACACAUCCUUUUAGACUUUCUCUCUGAUCAUGAAUCUAUCUCUUUACGAGUUUUGUCUUAAUUAGGGCUACACAUCUUUUUCUUUUUAAUUUUUGUGUUUAACUUUUUUUUUUGUUCAACAUUUUUGUGUUUUAACCCAUGUUCAAGAAAACGCUAGGCGUUAAGCGGGCGGUGACGCAACGCUUAGCGUCGACAAGAUUCAAUGUCACUCUUCUUUCACAGAAUUGGAAUAAGUAGAUUAAGACCUUUUAGAGAUUAAUGUUUCAAUUAGGCUUUCUACUUCAUCAUCUUUUAUUUUUU
rnacentral:lncRNA from 1 species